rnacentral:rRNA from 1 species
CAAGUCGAACGGUAGAGGGGGCAACCCCUCGAGAGUGGCGAACGGGUGAGUAAUAUAUCGGAACGUGCCCAGUCGUGGGGGAUAACGUAGCGAAAGUUACGCUAAUACCGCAUACGAUCUACGGAUGAAAGCGGGGGAUCGCAAGACCUCGCGCGAUUGGAGCGGCCGAUAUCAGAUUAGGUAGUUGGUGGGGUAAAGGCUCACCAAGCCAACGAUCUGUAGCUGGUCUGAGAGGACGACCAGCCACACUGGAACUGCGACACGGUCCAGACUCCUACGGGAGGCAGCAGUGGGGAAUUUUGGACAAUGGACGCAAGUCUGACCCAGCCAUUCCGCGUGCAGGAUGAAGGCCCUCGGGUUGUAAACUGCUUUUGUACGGAACGAAAAGGUUUCUAUUAAUACUAGGAGCUCAUGACGGUACCGUAAGAAUAAGCACCGGCUAACUACGUGCCAGCAGCCGCGGUAAUACGUAGGGUGCAAGCGUUAAUCGGAAUUACUGGGCGUAAAGCGUGCGCAGGCGGUUAUGUAAGACAGAGGUGAAAUCCCCGGGCUCAACCUGGGAACUGCCUUUGUGACUGCAUAGCUAGAGUACGGUAGAGGGGGAUGGAAUUCCGCGUGUAGCAGUGAAAUGCGUAGAUAUGCGGAGGAACACCGAUGGCGAAGGCAAUCCCCUGGACCUGUACUGACGCUCAUGCACGAAAGCGUGGGGAGCAAACAGGAUUAGAUACCCUGGUAGUCCACGCCCUAAACGAUGUCAACUGGUUGUUGGGUCUUCACUGACUCAGUAACGAAGCUAACGCGUGAAGUUGACCGCCUGGGGAGUACGGCCGCAAGGUUGAAACUCAAAGGAAUUGACGG